AUUGAACGCUGGCGGCAGGCCUAACACAUGCAAGUCGCGCGGAUGAGAGGAGCUUGCUCCUCGAUUCAGCGGCGGACGGGUGAGUAAUGCCUAGGAAUCUGCCCAGUAGUGGGGGACAACGUUUCGAAAGGAACGCUAAUACCGCAUACAUCCUACGGGAGAAAGUGGGGGAUCUUCGGACCUCACGCUAUUGGAUGAGCCUAGGUCGGAUUAGCUAGUUGGUAGGGUAAAGGCCUACCAAGGCGACGAUCCGUAACUGGUCUGAGAGGAUAAUCACUGACACUGGAACUAGGACACGGUCCAGACUCCUACGGGAGGCAGCAGUGGGGAAUAUUGGACAAUGGGCGAAAGCCGAAUCCAGCCAUGCCGCGUGUGUGAAGAAGGACCUCGGGUCGUAAAGCACUUUAAGUUGGGAGGAAGUGCUUACGGCGAAUACCUGUGAGUUUUGACGUUACCGACAGAAUAAGCACCGGCUAACUUCGUGCCAGCAGCCGCGGUAA
rnacentral:rRNA from 1 species